CGCCGCUUGGCGGCAGGCCUACACAUGCAAGUCGGGCGGUAACAGGGAGAAGCUUGCUUCUCUGCUGACGAGCGGCGGACGGGUGAGUAAUGUAUGGGGAUCUGCCUGAUGGCGGGGGAUAACUACUGGAAACGGUAGCUAAUACCGCAUAAUGUCUUCGGACCAAAGCGGGGGACCUCCGGGCCUCGCGCCAUCAGAUGAACCCAUAUGGGAUUAGCUAGUAGGUGAGGUAACGGCUUACCUAGGCGACGAUCCCUAGCUGGUCUGAGAGGAUGAUCAGCCACACUGGGACUGAGACACGGCCCAGACUCCUACGGGAGGCAGCAGUGGGGAAUAUUGCACAAUGGGCGCAAGCCUGAUGCAGCCAUGCCGCGUGUAUGAAGAAGGCCUUCGGGUUGUAAAGUACUUUCAGUCGGGAGGAAGGUGGCAAGGUUAAUAACCUUGUCAAUUGACGUUACCGACAGAAGAAGCACCGGCUAACUCUGUGCCAGCAGCCGCAA
rnacentral:rRNA from 1 species